UAGAAGUAUUGGCCAAGAUAUAUUAGGGUGAUGCUGGUUUAAAGAUAUGUGAAGCAAUUGCUGAUGUGCCCUUGAACUGCCUUGUCAUGGGAAGUAGAGGACUCAUUGGAGUUAAAAGGGCUCUUCUGGGGAGUGUUAGCCGCUAUGUCGCCAACCACGCAGUGUGUCCUGUAACUAUCAUCAAGGACUCUCAAUCUCGUCGUUAAAUCAACUUCCAUGCAUGGAUG